rnacentral:lncRNA from 1 species
CGCAGGAGAGAUCGGUGCAGUGCAGGCAGGUGGCAGACUGGCCGUGCCUCCACACGGGCCCUCCCUGGCCACCACUGUUCGGGAUUCAGUUCUUGUUUCUGUUGUUACUCAGAGGGCAUAGAGGAGACCGGCAUACCCAGCGGCCAAAGGCAGGGCCCAGGCGGGGGUGAGCACAGGCUGGGACUCUAUUCCCUGGGGUGAUGGAAGACUGGCUCUUGAGCUGCAUCCUUGGUAGCUUUUCCUUCUUCAUCUCAUUGCCAGUGAGGACACUGAGGAGGAGAAGGAGGUGAGGAGGAGGAAAAAGAUGAGGAAAAGGAGAAAACCAACCACGAUCCACUGUCACCAAAUGAGCAUGCCAGGUUGCCAUGCUGCACAGCUCCAAGAAGCACCACUGUCCAUGUGGUCAACAUGGAUGGAUCCCUGAGGAGGUGUCCAGCAGCAGCCUGCAUGCCAUGCGUGGCUCUGAAGUCAAUAAUCCUGGAAAAAGGGUCAUUCCUUCCCAAUAAACGACAGUGGGCUAUCUCCCGCAGACACCCACGAAAUUUCCCUCCUUUUCCUUCCAUGGAGGACUGGUGAAAACGUCAUCAUGGACCUGACCUGCAUCUGGAGACCAUCCCUCAGAGGUGCUGCAGAGCUCCUUUCUGCCCAGGCAUUUACGGUGGGUGAGAACUUGGAGAGGCGAGCUCACGAGGGAGUUGGGGUUUUGACUUGGCCAUGACUACUCAGCUCAGGAUGAAAGCUGAUACUUUCUGAGUGCAUUCUUUGAUUAACCCUUCAAUCCUCACAAUCACCCCAUGUCACCAGGAGGAAACUGAGGCAAAGUCCACACAACUGGCAAAUCUGGUAUGACUCUCUUUCUGUCACAGCAGUUUGCUGGCAACAGACCUACAGCCAGAUGCUCAGGUGAGUUAGUUCCAGUGGCUGCUUUUUUGUGGCACCCAGACCUCCAUUCUCUCCCUUCAUCACUGACCUGUUGCUGGUGCCUUCUUGGGACUCUCCCAAGGCCUUGCUGCUUUUCUCUCCUCCUGGGCUUUGACCAAGGCUUACCCAUGUGGCCACACAGUUUCAGCAACUUGGGGGAAAAUGAUAGGAGGUUGAAUCCCUUUCCCUUAGGAAGGGACUGAGGCUUCUCAUGCUCCAUCUAGCAAUUGUGUCUUUCUCAAAAUGUACAACAUUAUGUUCCACGAGAGACUCAACACACAGGUGCACAGGUGACAUAUAGGUGGCUUUUUGCCUAUGGAGAAAGUGGAGCAUCGGAGGAGCCACAGAGAGGGAAGUGAG